UCCUAGCCCUGAUAGCAGUGAAAAUCCUUGUUGCUUUUUUUAAAAAAGCAACAAGAUUGUAGCGGAUAGCAGGAUAAAGC
rnacentral:sRNA from 1 species